GUGGUCGUAUUGGAUGAGCUCUGGCGGUUGUGAAUGCUGAUUUUGGAUUUGUGAGUGUGUGUGUAACCCUUCUCUUGUCUGGUCAGAGGCCAGAGUCAUUAUAAAGGGAAGAUGGGGAGUUGCCCAGCAGCGUCCAGUUGGAGAGCUGCUUACUCAUCGUUCUUCUUCUACCGUUUCUCACUGUGAGGCAGAGGAAGAGUCUUACCGACAGGAAGAAUUUGUGCUGUGCCAGCAUUAAUACAGUAUGUAAUGCGAUCAAGCUUCUGUCCUGAAUGGCAAACAAAAAGACGAGAGAUGAGAGAAAGAGAGGAGGUGGAGACAAAGUCAGAGCAGAAUGUUUCCCAUUCAAUAUGACUUCGGCAUCAUAUUCAAAUAAAGCAGUCAGCCAUCGUGUUCACACCAUGAGCCUGUGGAAUGACAAGAUAAUGACACCGUCAUCACUCACAACUCGGGAGGAUCGGAGGCUUCAGGCACAAAAGUGCAGCUUCUGACGCCGCUUGAAGCUGACCUGGACAGAUUGAGUAAGAAGGGCAGUCUACCCACAGACAGCUAACCUUUACCUAAGUGAUGAGCUUGUUUUUAAAAGCUCAAAUCUUAAUAUGAAGCCUUUUGCGUUUCACCCAGAAGCUGGAGACUCACUGUGCUCCUAAUUUACAAAUGCAGUAAAUUCAAUGUCCCCAAGAGCGCUCUUACUACAUUAGGUGGGAAAGAAAUGUGAAUGAAAAUGAUGACAAAUAAAAAGGGGAGAUCUUAAGAGUCAUUAUCAUAGCUGUAAAAUAUUGGCA
rnacentral:lncRNA from 1 species